GUUGAUCUGUUUCUACACUGAUUUUGUUGCUGUUUGUUUGUUUGUUCAUUUUAUCUAGGAGGAACAACCAGUUUCCUGUUCCUCAAAUGAGAUACUAAGAAAGCUACAGCAAAAGAAAAGAGUUUUAUAAGUAAGUAUGAGAGACAGUGUUGGUACCCAGAAUCAUCGCAAAUGAAUUAUGAAGAAAACAUCACCACCAGAAAACUCAACAGAAGCAUUGCCAAGACGGGAACAUAUUCUCUUAAAGAGAGGCCACAGGAAUGGCUGAAACCAUGGUGUUCAUCUCUUCCUUUUAUUGAAAAUAGCCGUUUUUCACUUUCCCAUAGUACAUCCCGAUUAAAGGUUACCCCUCCUUCUACUCCUCCAGUUCCUCCCAACCCCCUCUCAUCCAGACCCACUCCCCUUCUGUCUUUCUUAUUAGAAAACAAACAGGCUUCUAAGGGAUAAUAAUAAAAUAUAAUUAAGUAAAGUAAAAUAAAAUAAAUAAAACAAAAACUAACACAUCAGAGUUGGAUAAAACAGAGAAAAAAGGGAAAGAGCCCAAGAACAGGCACACACACACACACACACCACCUAAACACUCAGGAAUCUCUUUAAACACACUAAAAUGGAGGCUAUAAUAUAUACACAGAGAACUUCAUCCACUGUCCUCCCAGAGGGCAAAGCAGAGCCAGGACAUAUAAGAUCUAUGGGAGCUCUGGCCUGACUGAGAAUGAGUGUUACAGCUCUUAGAAGAGAAGUGAAACCCAGAUAGACCUAGGCUGGUUAUAAGGAUGGGGUCUGGUACCUUCCAAAUUCCAUGCAAGGAAUCGCACUAUCAUACCACAAUUGGAUGGGUGUACCAAUGAGGGGUGGGGAUGGGGUGGGAGAAAGGAGGAUGUUUGAAGCUCCUCUAGAUGUUAAAUAUAUUUAGUGUAGUCAGAGCUUUCAUUAAAUUGUAUGUUAGGGGGGUAGGUUUUUGUCUUUUGUCUUAGAAGUUGGACUUUUAGGGUUUGAUGAGUUCUUUCUACUUUUCCUUGGCCCUGAGGGUUAUAGGGAAUCCCUGUAUGCUGGGUGUUAUAGAAAGUAUUAAAUCCCUGUGUGAGAUGUCUACCCCGCCUUAGCUGUUUAAGUUCCUGGAUAAACAACAUACACAACCUUUGUGUUGACAAUAAGCCUUAAACAAACAAGAGCUGGGCAAAGACUACUCUCUCUGUUGUUAGAGUCUACUUUCCUCUUUAUAAGCCAAUAUUCAAGCAACCCAGUAGCUUAUGAAAGCAUUGACAUCUUACAUUUUCAUUUCUGUAAUUUUUCCCUUCUAUCUGUAAAAUAUGUAUAUCAUUUUAUUAUUUCUUCCUUCUUUGGAGAUUAACAUCUUUAUGGAUAAAUAUACUUAUAUCCCAUUUCUCUUUAUAUAAAUUGAAUUAAUAUCAUUUUCUAUAUUUAAAUUUCCUUCUAUUUACUGUAUACAUCUAUUUUUAGGCCAACAUAUGUAUUAUAUGCUAGACUAAGUAGUUUCAGUUUUCCCAUGGAGCCCACGUGCAAAGAACCCAAUCACUUAUGAUAGCACUAAUAUCUUGCAUUCCCAUUUAUUCUCUAUUCAUUUUUUUUAAUUGUGGAAGGCAUGUAGCCUUGUUCUCUGCCCUCUGAGCAUCCUGCUUCAUUGUAGAGCAAGGACUCCUAGGAUAUCUAAUGCAGCUUAGGCUGUCUGGGUCAGCCUGGGAGAGGCAGG
rnacentral:lncRNA from 1 species